rnacentral:rRNA from 1 species
UACGUAGGGUGCAAGCGUUGUCCGGAAUUAUUGGGCGUAAAGAGCUUGUAGGCGGUCUGUCGCGUCUGCUGUGAAAAUCCGGGGCUCAACCCGGACUUGCAGUGGGUACGGGCAGACUAGAGUGUGGUAGGGGAGACUGGAAUUCCUGGUGUAGCGGUGAAAUGCGCAGAUAUCAGGAGGAACACCGAUGGCGAAGGCAGGUCUCUGGGCCACUACUGACGUGAGAAGCGAAAGCAUGGGGAGCGAACAGG